UUUAUCUUGAAACGUCUCUCUCAAUUGUCCCGUACUUUGGCAACUAACCGUUUGCUUAGCCUCGGUGCUUCAGCAAAGCAACAAUCAACCCGCCUCAAGUCAAACGCGGCUUUCUGCGCCCGCAUAAGAGUGCGAGUAGGUUGGAACAUUCGCAUGUGACGUUGAACAAUCUGCUAGUCGACACCCGACUCACUGCGUCUCGCUCGUUAGCGCGACGCCGUGCGUAACAGACAAGCGAGCGCCAUCAUCAUCGCGUCGACUGAAGCCAGAAAAACACAACGACCGGCGCACCGCCCACUUGAUGUCGACUUAUGACUGUUCGCUUUACUUUUGGCAACUUUUUGCAAUCUCUUUUUCGCCAACCAGUGUACCUACAAAUGUGCAAGCUGACAAUCCAGAUUCGAACCGUAAAAACUUAAGUCUGGACGAACGAUGGUCACCCCGUUGAGGACCACGAACAUGCCGAAGACAGAUUAGCCCACAGCUGAACCGAACCGUAGCAAGCCCGCACUUUGCUAACUCGCAAGUAUACUUGAUUAAGCGUUAAAUUUAACCGUCACUCAUCCAGCCGAAAGGCUUGCU
rnacentral:rRNA from 1 species